AUCUAGCCCUGAUGGAAACGGCAUCCUUUUAUGGAGGGGUUCGCCAUAAAAGAUAUAGUGUACAGCAGGUUGAAUG
rnacentral:sRNA from 1 species